UUCUAGGAUUUAAUUUUUGCUUCUGUAUAUUUCAAAUGUUCUGUAAAAUACUCGAUGUAUUUCUUUAAUAGUCUAAAAUAUGUACAGUAAAGAUUUUUAGCCUUUCUCCAACAUCAUUGAUCAUUACAGAAAUGCAAAUCAGAGCCAUAGUAACAUAGUAAUUCAAACUCAUUAGGAGGGCUAUAAUUUAAAACACACACAUAUGACAUGCAUACACACACACACACACACACACACACACACACACACACACCAGAAAAUAAGAAUCAUUAUUGACCAUAUCUGUCCAUUUUCUGUCGCCAUAACAAAAAUAACUGAGGUUGGAUAUUUUAUAAAGAAAACAGGCAUAUUUAAUUCCCAAUUUGGGAGGCUGAAGUCCCAGGCCAGGUGGCCUAUUUGUUCAGCCUCUGGUACAGUGUUGGGGAAUACUAUUUUAAGGUGUUAUUUUUGUUCAUGUUGCAUUUGUUUAACUCUGUGAAGCUGUGUUACUGUGUCUGUCUAAAACACCUGAUGGUCUAAUAAAGAGCUGAACGGCCAAUAGCGAGGCAGGAGAAAGGAUAGGCGGGGCUGGCAGGCAGAGAAAAUAAAUAGAAGGAGAAAUCUGGGAGAAGAGAGAUCUAGGAGCAAGAGGAGGAGGAGGACAUCAGGGGCCAGUCACCCAGCUCCACAACCAACAACAGAGUAAGAAAGUAAAGUAUACAAAAAUAGAGAAAGGUAAAAGCCCAGAGACAAAAGACAGGUUAAUUUAAAGCUAGCAAGAAACAAGCCAAGCUAAGGCUGGGCUUUCAUAAUUAAGAAUAAGCCUCUGUGUGUAAUUUAUUUGGGAGCUGGGUGGCAGGCCCCCAAAGAGACAAAGAGUAAGAAAACAACCAACAACAUUUUGGACAGUAACAGUAAAGGGACCAUGGUCAAUGGUUUUAUGGUGACAGGUCAUGCACAAGGGAGAGACCAUGUGCCAAGAUAGGAAGUCAGAGACUGGGGGUGGGGGUGGGGGGGGUCAGUUCUGCUCAUUAUUUUUUAUAACCACCUCUCAUAAGAAGUAACCAGGACCCAAGGAGAACUACUGUAAUCUCUCUGAGAGCAAUGCUUAUUGACCUAUGUAGCUCCACCCCCCAAGGUCUCCACCACUCUCAAUGUCAUCACAGUGAGAAGUCAGCUUCGCACAUGAACCAUUGAUACCUACAUCGGAGCUUUAUCUAAGCUUAAGGCUGAGGAUGUGGAAAGAAGGACACCUUUGCCUUCCUGGUAAAGUGCUGCCUCCAUGGAAUACAAUACAGAGAGUUCCGCAAAAACCAAACAUGGAAUUGCCAUAUGACCUUGUAGUUCUUUGUACAUGCCCCCAAAGACUUAGGAAUUUGAAACGAUGUUUGCACACCUAUGAUCAUUGGCAGCAUUAUUCCAUGGCCAGAUCGUAGGAGCAACUUGAGGUAUUUGUUAAGAGAUGAAUGCAUAAGCCACAUAUAGCAUAGGCAAAGGGACUAUCUUGUAGCCUUGUUCAAGAAGAAGGCUUUGGAACUUGCUGGGUCUGCGGAUGAGCCUUAAAGGCAUUGUGCUAAGUGAAAUAAGCAGGUUACAAAAGUUCAAAUAUUGUGUGGUUGCGCUUACCCGAGCUCCCCAGAGAACUGACAUUUAGAGAGACAUAGUUAACAGUACAGCAGUUACCAAGGGCUGGGAGAUGAGAAAGAUGGGAGCUAUUGUUUGAUGAGCAUAGAGUUUUGGGGUGACGAAAACGUUCUGGAAACAGGUGAAGUCACAGCUACAUAGCCAUGUGAAGGUGUCAUACCAUGAGCUGUGCACUUAAAAAUGUGUAAUUUUACGUUAAGUAUAUUAUAUUACAUUGAUUAUUUAUUUAAUUAAUUAAGUUUUUGGUUUUCUGAGACAAGGUUUCUUUAUGUAGCCCUGGCUAUCCUGGAACUCACCGUGUAGAACAGGUUGGCCUCAAACUCAGAGCUCCUUACCUGCCUCUGCCUCCUAAGUGCUGGGAUUAAAGAUGUGUGCCACCGUGCCCAGUGGGUUUUUUGUUGUUGUUUUGUUUUUGUUUUAGUUUUAAAAAAUGCAUCUUCCCAUAGGCAGCUUUACCUCAGAUUUUGGCUGGGUAGCUCAUGACAUCUAGAAACCAUAUAUUUGGGGGACAUGGUCAAAGGAUGUUAUCAACUUGCAUGAACAUGUUCUUAUAAAAUUCAGUACAAUGUUCAAUGAAUAUAAGCCAAACAAUAAUAAUAAUGAUAGUAGUAAGUCUGGAGAGAUGGCUCUGCGGCUCUGAGAACUGCCUGCUCUUCCAGAGGACCUGUGUUGGAUUUCCAGCACCCACACAGAGGCUCACAACAGUUUCAAGGGAUCCAAUGCCCUCUUCUGUGCUCCCCGGGAAACUAGGCACACAAGUGGUACACAGACAUACAUGCAGUCAAAACACCCAUACACAUAAAAAAUAAAAUUAAAAUUAAAAACAAGUUAUAAAAAACCAGAUAUAAUUUAGUCACUCCAUCUGCUCAUUAUUCAUUUUUAAACUGAAUUUGUAAAUGACAUUAAGAACAUUCCACCUGUAUUUAUACAAGGCUUAGGGAGUUAAUAGAUAUGGCUCAUUUUCUUUGGGGAUUUCCUAUCUAACGAGUAAAAAGAAACUAAUUACAGUGCACAGUGAGAUGAAACAAUGUAGUAAGUACAGAGGAACCAGCAGGGUCUGCUUACCUGGGUUUUGAAGAGGACUCUUUGAUGUGCAUUUAAGCUAAACCUUGGAAAAAUGAGAGCGAACCCAGAGCUGCAUUAAAAAGCAGGGGUGAAGAGAGAUGGAGGGGAGGGUGCUGGGAUGAGAGCAAGCCAAAAAAGCCACUAGUCCCACCCCAUGAAGCCCCCAGCUGGUUACAGGACAUCACAGGACAGUGGUCACGCUAGAUAAGGACAGGAAAGCAAUGUCAGACCAGAAAUGGGGCUGAACUCAGAAAGCCAUGCCAAAGCCAACAGUGCAUCAGAGGCAGGGGUAAGACUUUGGCUGGCUCCAUGGUGUGAUUCCAGAUAAAAGCGGAGCACACCGGGGCUUUCUGUGCAAGCCGGGCACUGACCUGUGCCUGUCAGUGUCUGAUCGUGUGCAGCUAUUAGGUUUGUAGUAGAAUGAGAAAAUAGUCAUUUUCAUUAAAUAGGAACACUUUCGCAAUGUUUCUUGUCAGAGUCUUGGACUCAGUCGGUCUGCGGUACGUUCGUUUCUUACCCCAAGACACACCCAGUAGACUUGUUUCUGGCGGGUGCCAUAAGACUAGUGCACAGCUGAGCAACCAUCACUGUGGCCCAGGUAGGGAGGAGAAUAGAGUGUACUGGGAAACUGGAAAUCCACGUCAGUCAUUCUGUGUUGUAGGAACAGGGGAGAUCAUGAAAAGGAGUCAGAGGUUGUGUAAGUCCACACCUUGACCCUCAUGAGCCAUCUUCUUGUCAACCAGAAAGAGUCACUCUUGUCCUUUGGUGUCUCUGUUCUUUGAAGCCCCCAUCAUGUCCUGCUUCCUGCUUUCUCUUGAGUUCUUCUGCCCUAGGUCCCUGAGACUCCCCUCCCCAUCUGCAGCCUCCCUGAAAGAACCUACAUCCCGACUCUGAAAACCACAGCAUCUAAGAUCCAUAGGCUUUCACAGCUGUCCUUCAUCUGUGACAUGAAGGACAUGUCCUCAGCUGGGACAUGAAGGAAGGGAACAUCCCCAGGCUUUCGUGGAAAGCCCCACAACUCAUCCCUCUUGAGCUCCAAGUUCCCAGGAUCCAGCCACCUUUAGUGAGUCAGGCCCUGACAUGAUCUCACUCACAAGGUAGUAACUCCUGCCCCCUCCUUGGAAGACUCCUCAAUUCCCCCAGGGAGGCUAGAGUCACAAAGAACUCGAAAUCCCCUGCCUGGGGUCAGGGCACCAAGGUCUUAAAAUACAAAUCCCUGGUUGCUUUUCCUGGAAAGAAAGGGAGGGAAUUACCUGUCCUUCAUUUCUCCUCCUCCCUUGGAGUAGGAAAACAGAAGCCCCAGCCAUUUCUCAAUGUCUCACCUCAUUUCACUCAGUCUCACUUUCUGCUGUCUGUGGACAUACCAGCUGGCAUCCUCGGUCUUGCACCAUCAAGUCUGCCAGGGCCACUGAUCCCAGCACCUGUUAAUCUACUCCUAGAUCUUUCCUGGGCCUCUACCUGUAGCUUUUGGGCACUUGGGCCUGAGAAACAACUGCUGCUGCUGGAUGGCCCCUCCCACUCCUUCCCACCUACUCCUGGUGUUCUCUCCGCAGCAGCCCACAGCGCCUGAUCUGCUUGUAGAGCAGACACAGCAACACAGAAUGCAAAUGGCUGAAGGUUAGAAAUCUGAGCUAUAUGUCUGAACCCUCUUUCAUGGUUCUAAAACUACUUUGGAACUAAGGUCCAGGCGUGUGAAGAAGCCAGCUGUCCCCAGACCCAGGCCAAGAAAUCCUGGGAUCUGGUGACCUGCACUCAGCUAUGUGGCCAGAGUGUUUCACUUCUAUGCUUCAGAAGCGACUGGGUAGCUCCAUUGCUGGUCAUGAAGGAAGUCCCCCCCCCCACCCGAAGUUGGCUUUUCCCAGAGAUGGUGGGGUCAUUGACCCUACCUCCUCCUGAUCGCCUCAUGGGUCUUUCUUAGCUCCCUCUGAUGCAUAGCUCUGGUACUCGUAACUGGGACACACCUACUUCAUUUCCUUACAAGUAUAUACAGUUAUUUAAGGGGGCUCCCCACCUCAGAUUGUAUUUUUCUAUCCUGGUGGAGCACCUGCUGAAGGCAAAGCCAAAUUUUCUCUGAAGCCCAAAUUUGGUCCAAGUUCUUCACAGAAAAUUCUCAGCCAGGCUUGGUGGCAUGUACUUGUAUUCUUAGCUACUCAGGAGGCUGAGACCGGAGGACAGCAAAUCUAAGGCUGGCCUGGGUAACUUAGCAAGACCUCUGUUUUAACAUAGAAAUUUAUAAUUGAUUUUAAAACGAUAUUUAUUAUUAUUUGGGGGGAGGAUAUGUGCACAUGCACAUGCUGGUAUGUGCAUGCUACCCUGUGCAUCUGGAGGUUCAAGGACACCUUUGGAGAGUUGGUUCUCUCCUUCCAUUUAGGAUCUAAGAAUGGAACUCAGCUCGCCAGGCUUAAAUGACUGGUGCUUUGACCCACUGAACCAUCUCCCCAACCUUAAAACAAAUUUGUUCAAGGGUCUGGCAUAAGUCAUUGAGACAGAACUUUCCCAGCAUGCUCUGGGUCAAUACCUACUAAAUCGCAUACACAGAAGAUUCUCUAACAUCGGGGUCUCUUUUUCCAGCCCAGCCCUAUGGACUCAGGCUGAGCCUCACUCUAGUCUUAUACCUGCUGCCUGGGAUGUUCGGUGAUGGUUUUAAUACCUCUUCUGCAUGCCAGCUCCUGCCCUCCUCACCCACCUAUCCCCAGUCUAGAAGCCAUAUCCGUCCACCUCCUCCUGGUCGUAGCCCCAGGUUGGAGGGCACUUCCACGCUGCUGCCGUUCCUGCGCAUGCUCAGAGCGUCUGCGGCUCUGAUUUAUGUUUUCCAGAUUUGUCGCCUCACCCGCAUAACCAGGCCGGCAGAUAUUUUAAGCGCAUGAAUCAGGGUGUCUGGCAUGGCUUCCUCUACUGCAGAGCUCCGGCUGCAGGCAUAAUGAAGUUGGGAGGGGGAACUGUUCAACUUAUCAGGGAGGAGCUUUGUGUCAGUAAGUAGUCUGCCUGGCAACAGCAUCGGGAAAGAAAGAUUCGAGCUGGUACCAGGGUCAAAGCCCGCAUCCUCGGCCUCCAGAUCAGCAUCUCCUGCAUAGUUUUCCACCGCUGGGGGCUGUCUACACUCCUUUUUUAAAAAAGGAAGAUGAAUUUCAUCUAUGCAUGCCCCAAAUGAUGUCCCCUGACAUGCCACGAGACAGGGAGACGUGAUGAGCAACGGUGUCACCAGGCUGUGGACAUCCAUAGAACAGUUAUGAAUGAAUCGCAAGAAGGAGAUGUCUGCGCUAAAAUGAGUGGCUGGAAAAGAAUCCGCACAAGGCAGCACUAACUGACCUCUAUGGCCGUGUGGGCAUCUUGUUUGCAGUGUGGGGCUGGAGACAAGGGAGGGAGGCUGGCAUUCCUUUCUGUUCUGUCUCCUGAGCAAACACUGAAGAAACAGUCUUGUCUAGUUCCUGCAGAAUGAGGAACAGAGCCAACAAAGUUCUGGCGUGGACUUCCCAACACUUGGGGCGACUUUAAGACAUCUCAGUGUGUAGGACGGUGACUGACAGAGUUGAAGCUGAACCUGGGUGUGUGGGAUAGGGCCUGGCCCUUGCUCUGUUGCUACGUGAUGUAUCCUGAAAUCCUUUCCUCAGCAUCCUCUCUACCAUCUGGAGAAUGAUCCAGUGAUCCCACGGAAGUCUUCCUGGGUCUGGCAUUCUAGGAUUCCAAAGUCAAAGAUAGUUUUACCAUCCUAAGAAAGCAAAAACGUUUAAAGCGUUCCUAUAAACGUUUAUAUGUCAGAUACCUGAAUCCUAAGAGUCUCCCUUCACAUCUCAGUAUGCACACAAGUCUUCAGGCUUCAGCGUCCCCAAGCAUACAUCGGCCGUGGUAUCUGGGAUACAUUUGCAUUUUUAACUUAAGUGUAAUUCUAUUUGGUUUCAUGCCACAGGAAGUUCAAGCCUGAGUCAAUUAAGGAGUUUUAUGAAAAGAGUUUUUAAAAAGGAAAGACAAUGCAUUGCAUAUGUUAGCCCAUUGUACUUUACACUGUUAGCCAGUAAGACACAUUGGGGGCGACGUGUGCUCCAGUCCAAGAAUCUGUUAGCAAUCCGCAGAGUCGAAUGUUUUACUGUCUUGUUUGGAAGCGUGGAAUUUAGAAGCUGGCAGAGGCUUGGGCGGUAGGCAGGCAUGGCCUGUAAGAACCAGGGCAAGGAGACUUUGGGUUCAUUCUUACAUACCACUCGGUUCCUCCUAAUGGAGUCUUCAUGGUGUGGGACUGAAAAGUCAAGCAGGAAAAAAAAAAAGCCAUCUCUUAAACUUGGUGAUGAGGUGGUGGUCAGCAACGUGAAACAGAACGGGAUUCAAUCGGCUCCUCUUCCCAUUGAAAGCUUCCAGAGCAGCAGCGAAAAUUCCUGCGUGUCAGAGAAGGGGCGGAGACAACUGUGUGGAUGACAGGCAGAAGAGGAGACACAUCCCAGGUAACAGCCGCAGCUGGCUUUUUCUGUAAAACCCACACCGCAGACAAGCAAUCCUCCCUGGGAACAGAAUGGGAGACUACUCAGAACUCAACGGGAAGGAAUGAACUCUGAGCCACUAUAAACAGAGAAAAGAGACUCGGUAACCGGCCCAAACCUCAGCUCUGGGUAGACAGGCUUCCUGGCAGUGGGGCCCCUAAGAGAAACUCAAACGAAAACACGAGAACAAAGAUCCUAAGAUGACCCUGAGUUUGAGGAGUGGAGAUGGUACCAAGCUCUAAAAUGGGAAGGCGUUGAUCAACGUGAAAUGUUCCCCAUGGGCUCCUGUUGAAAUCUUGGUCCCUAGCUGGUGUCACUAUUCUGAGAAGUGUUGGAGACUUGAAGGAGUGGAACCUAGGUGGAGGAAGUAGAUGGCAGGGAAGGAGGACAUGCCUUUGAAGAGCAGACCUGCCCAUCCCUUUCUCCCCCUCCUCCUCCCUCUUCCUCGCUGCCAUGAUAGCCAUGAUCUCUAUGACCACCAUCUAUGGGCUUAGGUACACUGAAUCAGCACACUGAACCAGCAACCCCAACCCCAGAAGGGUGGAGCCCCUUUCCUCAUCCCGGAAGGAAAGCAGCUUAACUUCUGAAGCAGUGAGUGCCUGCUCCAUUGGAUUUGUCCUACAGCUGUUUCCAGACAUACAGAGCUACAAGUUAAGCUCCAGGAGUUGAUUGCCUGGAAUUAAGGCUCAGUGCCCAGAGUGCCCCGAGUCACCACACAUCAAUCUGAUUUGCCAUGGCCGGUCAGCAGUUAUUGAUGGAAGGUCUCAAUGAAGCAUUCCUUCAGUUUCUUUCAUUUCCCCUGCAGAGAGAUUAUGGCCCUGCUUAAAGAGGGUGAGACCCUCAGGACAACAAAAAAACAGACUCUCACUAGGAAUCUCAAACCUGGAACUGUUGUGACAUAUCUGUCUACUAAACUAAGUGGCCUCGUGGCUCAUGGCUCUGCUUCACGGGGAGGCAGCAUCCUUACUGGAAGGCUCCUGAACCUGCAACAUCAUCUUCCAUUUUCUCCCAGGAAGUUGAAGUGAGAGCACCCCACCUUUCCACUAAAAUCCUAACACUGUUACAAAGGUAAGCUUUCUCUCAUUUGUGAUUGACAAGUUUUCUGAGAGUGGUAACCGCCUACUUGCUUGCUUGCCUGGAGUGAUUUGGAAUUUAUCCCACUAUUACUAAGCCCCAGCAACAACUUCUUAGCAUGCACAACAGCUAUUUCUCAAAGUUGCCCCUGACAUUGACUUUUCCCUGUUAAUGCCACAGCUCCAUAUCACAAUUUAUUUGCAUGCCAGGUGCAGUUGGAUAGACAGACAUGAAUUCUGAGCGGCUAGAGAUUAUUAGACAGUAGAUUUUUAAUCUUUUUUUUUUUUUUUUUAGUUUAAAUUAUUUUCCUGAAAUUCAUUCUCGAUUUUACUAGUGUGUUGCUUUGGGGUACAAGUGUGGAAAGCUUGUGUAUAAAAACUGUAUCAUUUACUGGUUUCCAGUAUAUACAUAUACAGUCCUCCAAACUGUGAACUUCUUAGUCUUGGGGGGAUGUGUUGAUUUCCCUAGUCAUCUAUUCUUUAGCAGAUAGACAGUUGACCAAUAUGACCAAUAGAAUAUGGAUGAGGUAUAAUGUGUCAAUUUCAGAGUUUAUGCCUUGAGGGAUGUAGCUUUCACUUCCUGUUGUCUCUGGAAGCCCUACCUUCCUUGUAAGUCCAGCAAUCCCAAGACAGCCUGGCUAGAGAGGCUAGCCUGUAGCAUGGCAGCAUGCAGCCUUCUGUCCAUCCCUGCUAAGAUGUAGGCGUCUGAUUGAAUCCUCCAGACUAUCAGCAAGAUGCCUUUGGAGCAGGAGGUUUCCUUACCUAGGCUUCCUCACGAAAUCACAGGUUACAACAGACGGUUAUUUUAAGCCUCUGAGAUUUGGAGUGAUUUGUCACACACGAUAAAUAGAAAGAACAAAAUCCUCGGGAGAGCGGUAUCAUGUACACCACUCUCCCACUCUAUCCCCGGAGAUCAGCUCGUACCUUAAUAGCUAUUCUCACUUUACUUGAGUGAGACGCUGCAGAUGUGAGCAGGUUGGUUUGUUUGUUUGUUUUAAUUAUAGCUGGCAGCAGCUAAGAAUGCUGUGGCUCAUUUUGUGUGCUGUUGGGCAGCACAGACCAGAGGACCAGACCAACCUCAGGCCACAGAGCUUGCAAAGAGGAUUGUUUUUAGCAUUUAUAACCUGAAGAGGAUGAAACCUCUAAUUCUUCCUUCUCAUUACUACAGGGGGCCACCACAAGAUAGAGGUAUGUUGCUGAUAGAAUGGGCUUACAUGGAAAUGCAAUAUCACACAUGGUGACUGCAGAAACACAAGAUUAAAUGAAAAUUACAGGAGACAGAUACAUUCUCUUUCUUUCUCACCUUCAUGGUAGAGCCAAAGAUAGAGUGGCAAAAGAAAAGAAAGAAAUACAGAUGAGAUGAAGACAGAGGAUUCUGAGGAACAGAAAAGAUUGGGAAGCAAAAAUUAGCCAUUCAGUAUGCACUUAGAAUUUUGAAUGCAGGGACCCGGAAAAGAUGGAUUCCCCAAAUAACUAACGAGCACAACUCAAUAAUAAAAUAAUGACAAAAUAAUGGUUUAAUAUGAAAAUAAUUGGGCAGGGUGUCAAGAAAUCGCAAUAUCAGUCCUAACAACUGACAAUCGAUUGGACUUAUUUUAAACGGUUUUCUCGUUGUAAAGUGAGAUCUCUCUCUUUCUUCCAGGAAAUCACCCGAGUUGAUUUGCGGAAGGGACAGAAAAGUAGCUUAGGCAGGAGAGAAAUAAUCAACAGUCACCAAGUCAUGCCAUCUUUUGAGAAAUUUAGAAUAAUCUUUCUCUUUAAAAGCAAUCCCUUUUUAAAACGUUAAGCAAAUCAGUCUGUUGCGCAUGCACUGAUUAUCAAGUUUCUAUACAAACAGCUAGCCCCUGAGAGAUGGCUCAGCGGGUAAGGGUGCUUGCUCUUAAGCCAGAUGGUCUGGGUUGGAGCACUGGGACCUGCAUGACAGAAGGAGAGAGCUGACUCCAGCGGGUUGCCCUUUGACCUCCACAUAUGUCAUGGCACAUGUGUCUUCCCACGUCAUGCACUCAUACACAAUAAAAAUUAAAUGGAAAUCUCACAGAUACUAAUAAAUGAAUGUAAUUUUUUUUAGUUGAAAAAUCAAACAAUCGCGGGUACAUAGUGAAAGGGGAGUCGAUGCACUAGCAAGAUCCAUGAACAGUAAAACCGUUUAAGAAUUCAACAUCUAAAUGGAUCCCGUUGCUUCUUAGACUGGAAAUAAUCUCAUCCGAAGACUUAGGAUGUGUGCCUAAGCGACUUUUCUUAUUGUCGUUAACAAAAUACCUGGUGAAACCAGCUUGAGAGAGGCAGGGUCUACCCUGGCUCACAGUGUGUGGAUACAGUCCAUUGUGGCAGGAAAGGGACAGUGGCGGGAGUGGCCAGCUGGUCACAUGGCAUCCUCAGUCAAGAAGCAGAGGGAAAUGAACGAUGGUGCUCAUCUCUCUUUCUCCAUUUCCCUUUCAUUCGGUCUAAGGGCCCAGCCCAUGGGUUCAUGCCCCUAACUGUUCGGGUAGGUCUUCUCACCUCAAGCACCCCAAAAGAGAAACUCCCUCAGGGACACACCUACAGACUUGUCUUCUUUUGUGUUUUUGGAGCCCGUCAGGUUGAUAGUCAAUAGUAACCAUCAAAAUGUGUAUGAGAACUUGGCCCGCUGCUGAGAGCGGCACGGAAGUUGUAGGCUGUCGGGGAGCCGAGGGAACAGGAAGUAGCCCUGAGUUAGUGGCCCUAGCUAAGAGCAGCUCUCCUGAGCAAGGGAAAGGACCCUCAUAAACUAGUUGGUGGUUAGUUACAGUGUGCCCGCAAGCACACAUCCAAAAGGGAAGUCAUUCCUUCUCCUAAUUAGUAGAUACUGUUGGUAAAGACAAUGUUAUUUCUUGAGGUGUGCUAGGCAGAAUUCCUGCAGCACAACUCCCGACAGGGCUUAAUAAGGUCCAAACCUGAGACUCACCUCAGACUAAGUACAUCCGAUUCUCUGUACUGCCCAGGAGCCCGAAUUUAAACAGGCACCCCGGUUGUGUCCCAUGUACAACCGUAGCCCAAGGACGGCCAUGCUUCCUCGAGCAGCAUAGCUCUCUAAAACGUGCUGCCGCCGGUCCAACAGUUCCUUUGCUGUUUCUCCCUCUAAAAGUGUCUCCCUGCUCACCUGCUUCAUGGCUCCUUCAAUCUACCUCCAACGUCUUGAUGUCUUUUCUGUGAAUUCUAAUUAUGCUACUUUGUAUGUGUCCUUCAUGGUUCAAUUCCACCCCUACCCUCUGACAACACCUUAUCCCCUAGCUGUUUUAUAUAAGAUGUAUAUGUAUACCUAUUUUAGGCAAGGUCUUACUGUGUAACCUUGCCUGGCCUGAAACUCACUAUAUA